UAAAUUACUCAAAAUGUGUGGCAAAUUAUGUCCAACUAAAGGGACACACACAGCUCUGUAAAAUAUUAUACCUUUGUUUCUAAAGAAGCUGAUACCAGUAGGUAGGUACUUGCUGAGCAAUAUUGAAUUAUUGUACAUUUACUAAACUAAAUGGGUACCAACUAGUCAACCAUCGAAUUACGUAGGCUAUAUCCUCCUGACAAAUAGGCCUAAAUGCAUGAUCCUUUUGAUGUGAUCCAUCUUCACAGUCUGUGGAGGUUCUUUACUUUGUCUGGCCCUCUCCCCUGAGAAAGAGGGAUAAAUGGAAGCAGGAGGAGAGGGUCAGGUGAUGAUGGGAUUAAAGACCUCUUUGCACAGAGAAGGUCUGACAGACAGACCGUGUUUGACUCAGCAGCAGCACCAGCACCUUCUGCCUUCCUCUCCAAAAGCCCUCCUGUGGGGCUGCAGUCUGCUCAGCCCUGGACCUAGAUUCACCACACCAAAGCUACUGGUAACUAACCGUUCUGUGACUACACUAUACAGUCCAACAGAACGUCACUCAUUAUAAACAGCCUCUAGAAAUGUAAACACAAUUCAACCCAUGUAAUCCCACUCGGCCUAGAAUAUCAUAAUCCCAGUCAAUGUAAAGCAAUGCAGGCGGCAGGCCAAGCCAAAUUGGGCAGCUAGCUAGCUAUCCGCUCCAGUCCGGAUGUAAGGAAGUUAAGUAAACAUACGAAAUAACUACCCAGCAGCAUUUACACGUAGCUAGCUAGUUUGCAGGGUCCCACUAACGGACUAAACUUUCAUCGUUUUACCUCUAUAUGUAAAAAUGUAACAAGGUCGAGCUUGUUAGCUAGCCAUGUGCGAUCAAAGUAGUGCACGGGUAGGCCUACUAAAAAUAGUUAAAGUAACACAUAUGCUAUUUACGUUUGUCAGAAGUGCAGUAAUUUACCCCGCAGCUAGCAAGGUUGUGGUAUGAAAUAAAUUGAGCUAACAAAACAAAGCAGAUGACUAAAAUCAAAGGUAAAGACAGAGCUGGACCUCCAAAGUCGACUGUAUGAGACUACUCUUUAAAGACAUUGAUACACAGUUCCAGCAGACUCUUAGGCUGGGUAUCUGUAAAGCACGUUGUGACAACCACUGAUGUGAAAAGGGCUUUAUGAAAUACAUUUGGCUGAUUGACUUUGGGGCAGCGAGGGAACAGCUGCUGCGAUCUGUGGUUGGGGCACCUAAUCCAUAGCUAGCUAGCUAAAGUAGUUAACAAAAUGUACAUGUAGGUCUAUAUAACAUACGUUUUGUGUAUGUUUGUAUUGUGAUCAGCAGCAUGCUCUGUCUAUACAUCAGGUAGAGGCAUGACUCGUAUAAUUCCUAUUUUCCCUGUGUCUCGCUCUGUCUGAUCAGGGGCAGUAUGUAUUGCCUGUCGCCUCCUCAUGCCACUGGCCACCAGUCACACUACUUGGCGCUGUUGGAUGCCCAAGACCCUGCCGCUGUAGGUCAUCAGCCUCCUGAAGAGAGAGGAUAAAUCAUGGUUUGAUUGAAAAAGUAAAAAACAGCAACAUCCAGCCAUAGAAUGAAGGUGGAGCAACAGUGGUGGGCAGUGCUCUUCUUCCAAUGGCAGAAAGGGAAAGGGGGAUACUUAGUCAGUUGUACAACUGAAUGCCUUCAA